rnacentral:rRNA from 1 species
CUACCCGGGUUUCUAAUCCUGUUUGCUCCCCACGCUUUCGCGCCUCAGCGUCAGUCUCGGUCCAGAGCGCCGCCUUCGCCACCGGUGUUCUUCCCAAUAUCUACGAAUUUCACCUCUACACUGGGAAUUCCACGCUCCUCUCCCGAACUCCAGCGAGCCAGUCUCGAGCGCACCUCCCAGGUUGAGCCCGGGGCUUUCACACUCGACUCGGUCCGCCGCCUACGCGCCCUUUACGCCCAGUAAAUCCGAACAACGCUCGCCCCCUUCGUAUUACCGCGGCUGCUGGCAC